CCACCCUACGUCCCCCCUUGUGCAGAUUGCCAGGCAGGCCUCAGAGGCUCCUUCCUAGGAUAGGGUGAUAGACAGACCUGGUUUUCAAUCCAGGCUGGGCUCUGUGACCUCAGACAAGUUGCUUAACCUCUCUGGACCGCAGUUUCCUUCUAAUGGGUCUAUUCCAACAGUGAAAUAAUGGCUGUAAAAUGCCCCGACACAGUUCCUGGCCUAUUGUGCUGUUGGGAACACAGAGGAAGUGACUGGCUGGGGGUUCAGGGAAAGCUCCGUAGAAGAGGGAACACUUGAGCUGGGUCUUGAAGGAUGAGUAGAAGUUCACCAAGUGGGAAAGGACACUCUAGGAUGGCCGAGCCUCGAUUCAACAACCCCUACUUCUGGCCCCCUCCUCCCACCAUGCCCAGCCAGGUAAGAGGAGCGCCCCCCUGCGGCCACCCUCCCCUCUUACUGCUUUGGCUGUGGGGCGAGGG